CGCGUAGGCGGUUUUGUAAGUCGAAUGUGAAAGCCCCGGGCUUAACCUGGGAAUUGCGUUCGAUACUGCGAAACUAGAGUACGGUAGAGGGAAGUGGAAUUCCGGGUGUAGCGGUGAAAUGCGUAGAUAUCCGAAGGAACACCAGUGGCGAAGGCGACUUCCUGGGCCAGUACUGACGCUGAGGUGCGAAAGCGUGGGGAGCAAACA
rnacentral:rRNA from 1 species